rnacentral:lncRNA from 8 species
GAAUAACACAGGAAGUGAAGAAUAACACAGGAAGUGAAGAAUAACACAGGAAGUGAAAAUAACAAAGGAAGUAAGGAAUAAGGCUUAUCAAGAAAGGGGAGAGGAGAAAGGAACAUAGGACAGAGGGUGGACAGGUGAAUUUAUCUGGCCAGCAAAUCACUCACAAAACGCAUGUUGAUAUUACUAUGGUAGAGAGAGAAAUGUACAAGAAUUGUAUCGGCCUUCCCUGUGGCGCAGUUGGUACAGCAUGGUGUUUGCAACGCCAGGGUUGUGGGUUUGAUUCCCACGGGGGGCCAUGUAUGAAAUGUAUGUUUUCACUACUGUAAGUCUCUCUGGAUAAGAGCGUCUGCUAAAUGACUAAAAUGUAAAUGUUUAUCAAGUGAUUAUUUCUUUACAAGCAGCACUAGGGUCAUUUAAAAGCAGCAGUAGUAGUAGUAUUAAGAGUAGUAGUAUAAAGAGUAGUAAAAUUAUUAUUAGUAGUAAUAGUAGUAGUUGUAGUGGUAGUAUAAUUAGUAGUAGUCGUAGUAGUAGUAGUAGAAUUAGUAGUAGUAGAAUUAGUAGUAGUAGUAGUAGAAUUAGUAGUACUAGUAGUAGUAGUAGUAGUAGUAGUAAAAGUAGUAGUAGCAGUAGUAGUAGCAGUAGUAGUAGUAGCAGUAGUAGUAGCAGCAGCAAGAGCAGUAGUACAAUUAUUAUUAUUAUUAUUAUUAAUAGUAGUAGUAGUAGUAGCGGUAGUAGCAGUAGUAGUAAUAGUAGCAGCAGUAGUAGUAGUGGCAGUAGUAGUAGUAGUAGUAGUAGUAGUAGUAGUAGUAGUAGCAGUAGUAGUGGUAGUUGUAGUGGUAGUACUAGUAGUAGUAGUAGUAGUAGUAGUAGUAUUGGUAGUAGUAGCAGCAGUAGUAGUAGUAGUAUUGGUAGUAGUGGUAGUCGUGGUAGUAGUAGUAGCAGUAGUAGUAGUAGUAUUGGUAGUAGUAGCAGCAGUAGUAGUAGUAGUAUUGGUAGUAGUAGCAGCAGUAGUAGUAGUAGUAGUAGUAGUAGUAUUGGUAGUAGUAGUAGUAGUAGUAGUAUUGGUAGUAGUAACAGCAGUAGUAGUAGUAGUAGUAGUAGUAGUAGUAGUAGUAGUAGUAGUAGUAACAGUAGCAGUAGUAGUAGUAGUAGUAGUAGUAGUAGUAGUAGUAGUAGUAGUAGUAGUAGUAGUAGUAGUAGUAGCACUAGGGUCAUUUCACACCGUUAUCCAUUCUAUAUUAUAAGAUCCCAUUUGCUUUGGUUCAUUUUCCCUUUCUAUCCUCCCUCCUCCUCUCCUCCGCUCCUCCUGAAGCACCCCCUAAUAAUGUCUAUAAAAUGACCUGUAUAUUUU